AACGCACAUUGCGCCCUUUGGUAUUCCUUAGGGCAUGCCUGUUCGAGCGUCAUAUAAUUACUCAAGCAAAGCUUGGUUAUGGGUGCCUGUCCCGCCCCGUGCGUGGACUCACCUCAAAUCCAUUGGCGGCCCCCCGCCGGCCACGAGCGCAGCAGAAACGCGGUCUCGUGCCCCGGUAGGGCGGCUCCCAGAAGCAAACCCCCCAUUUUUGACCUCGGAUCAGGUAGGGAUACCCGCUGAACUUAA
rnacentral:misc_RNA from 1 species